rnacentral:rRNA from 1 species
GACGAGCGCUGGCGGCGUGCUUAACACAUGCAAGUCGAACGAUGAAGCCGGAGCUUGCUCUGGUGAAUUAGUGGCGAACGGGUGAGUAACACGUGAGUAACCUGCCCUUGACUCUGGGAUAACUGCUAGAAAUGGUAGCUAAUACCGGAUACGACCCUCGGAGGCAUCUCCAGGGGGUGGAAAGAAUUUCGGUCAAGGAUGGACUCGCGGGCUAUCAGCUAGUUGGUGGGGUAACGGGUCACCAAGGCGACGACGGGUAGCCGACCUGAGAGGGUGACAGGCCACCCUGGGACUGGGACACGGCCCAGAAGCCUGCCGGUGGCAGCAGUGGAGAAUAUUGCACGAGGGGCGCAAGCCUGAUGCAGCAGCCCCGCGUGAGGGAUGACGGCCUUCGGGUUGUAUACCUCUUUUAGUAGGGAAGAAGCGAAAGUGACGGUACCUGCAGAAAAAGCACCGGCUAACUACGUGCCAGCCGCCGCCGUAA